AACGAACGCUGGCGGCAGGCUUAACACAUGCAAGUCGAGCGCCCCGCAAGGGGAGCGGCAGACGGGUGAGUAACGCGUGGGAAUCUACCCAUCUCUACGGAAUAACGCAUGGAAACGUGUGCUAAUACCGUAUACGUCCUUCGGGAGAAAGAUUUAUCGGAGAUGGAUGAGCCCGCGUUGGAUUAGCUAGUUGGUGGGGUAAAGGCCUACCAAGGCGACGAUCCAUAGCUGGUCUGAGAGGAUGAUCAGCCACACUGGGAUCGAGACACGGCCCAGACUCCUACGGGAGGCAGCAGUGGGGAAUAUUGGACAAUGGGCGCAAGCCUGAUCCAGCCAUGCCGCGUGAGUGAUGAAGGCCCUAGGGUUGUAAAGCUCUUUCACCGGUGAAGAUAAUGACGGUAACCGGAGAAGAAGCCCCGGCUAACUUCGUGCCAGCCGCCGCAGUAAAAC
rnacentral:rRNA from 1 species